UUGAAAUAAUGAAAGAAAAGAUCACUGUGGUUAAUAAUAAAUACUGAGAAGGGUUAUCAUUAAAAUGAUCCAUUGCCAAUAUUUUCUGCCAAGAAAAUAUUUAAAUAUUUUUUGAGUUUUCAAAGUAAAUCUCUAUGGCAAGACAUCUAGUUUGGUUCUUUUUUUUUUUUUGAGACAGAGUUUCGCUCUUGUUACCCAGGCUGGAGUGCAAUGGCAUGGUCUCGGCUCACCGCAAUUUCCGCCUCCUGGGUUCAGGCAAUUCUCCUGCCUCAGCCUCCCGAGUAGCUGGGAUUACAGGCACACGCCACCGUGCCCAGCUAAUUUUUUGUAUUUUUAGUAGAGACAGUGUUUCACCAUGUUGACCAGGAUGGUCUCGAUCUCUUGACCUUGUGAUCCACCCGCCUCGGCCUCCCAAAGUGCUGGGAUUACAGGUGUGGUUUCGUUCUUUAUAAUUGUAGAUUUUAAAGUGUUCUCUGUUCUGCCUGCUUCUUGAUGUUUAUCAAAAUGUGUUACAAACGAUACAUAGUUUGUAUUGUUCCUAACAUUUUAAUUACUUUAGUGAUUAUUUUUAUUCUAUAAAAAUCUUUUCUCCUGGUCGUUGGCAAAGCCUGAGCCCUGUCCUCUCACUCUCCUUCCUGGCAGCAUGAGCUUCACCACUCGCUCCUCCUUUUCUACCAACUCCCAGUCCGUGGGCUUUGUCCAGGUGCCCAGCUACGGCUCCUGGCCGGUCAGCAGCGCGGCCAGCGUCUGUGCAGGUGCCGGGGGCUCUGGUUCCCACGUCUCUGUGACGCUCUCCACCAGCUUCUGGAGUGUCAUGGGGUCAGGGGCCUGGCCGCGGGGAUGGCCAGGGGUCUGGCAGGAAUGGGAGGCAUCCAGAACGAGAAGGAGACCAUGCAAAUCCUAAACGACCACCUGGCCUCCUACCUGGUCAGAGUCAGGAGCCUGGAGACCGAGAACUGGAAGCUGGAGAGCAAAAUCCAGGAGCACCUGGAGAAGAAGGGACCCUAGGUCAGAGACUGGGGCCAUUACUUCAAGACCAUUGAGGACCUGAGGGCUCAGAUCUUCUCAAAUACUGUGAACAAUGCCCGCAUCGUUCUGCAGAUUGACAGUGCUCGUCUUGCUGCUGAUGACUUUAGAGUCAAACAUGAGACAGAGCUGGCCAUGCGCCAGUCUGGAGAGCGACAUCCAUGGUGUCCGCAAGGUCAUCAAUUACACCAAUGUCACUCGGCUGCAGCUGGAGACAGAGAUCGAUGCUCACAAGGAGGAACUGCCCUUCAUGAAGAAGAACGAUGAAGAGGAAAUAAAUGGUCUACAAGCCCAGAUUGCCAGCUCUGGGUUGACCGUGGAGGUAGAUGCCCCCAAAUCUCAGGACCUCGCUAAGAUCAUGGCAGAAAUCCGGGCUCAAUAUGACGGCUGGCUCGGAAGAACCGAGAGGAGCUAGACAAGUACCGGACUCAGCUGAUUGAGGAGAGUACCACAAUAGUCACCACACAGUCCACUGAGGUGGAAGCUGCUGAGAUGAUGCUCACAGAGCUGAGAUGUACAGUCUAGUCCUUGGAGAUCGACCUGGACUCCAUGAGAGAUACGAAGAUCAGCUGGGAGAACAGCCUGAGGGAGGGAGGCCCACUACACCUUUCAGAUGGAGCAGCUCAAAGGGAUCCUGCUACACCUGGAGUCAGAGCUAGCACAGACCCGGGCAGAGGGACAGCGCCAGGCCCAGGAGUACGAGGCUCUGCUGAACAUCAAGGUCAAGCUGGAGGCUGAGAUCGCCACCUAUCGCCACCUGCUGGAAGAUGGCGAGGACUUCAGUCUUAGUGAUGCGUUGAACAGCAGCAACUCCAUGCAAACCAUCCAAAAGACGACCACCUGCCAGAUAGUGGAUGGCAAAGUUGUGUCUGAGACCAAUGACACCAAAGUUUUGAGACGUUAGGCCAGCAGAAGCAGGGGACCCUUGGGGGAGCAGGAGGCCAAUAAAAAGUUCAGAGGUCAAAAAAAAAAAAAAAA